ensembl:lncRNA
AAAUGGAUAUUUAGAGAGUGGUUGAUGACUUGUCCCAUGUCAUCCUCAAGGCUUGUGGUUUCUCUCAACCUAUGGGCAUAAGAAGAAUUACUGAAAUCAGUCACACUCUGAGCACCUAGCCCUGUGUUUGUCAUACUCUGCACCGGCCCACAAAUAUUGAGUGAAAAAGGAACAAGAGCAUAUUUGGCAAUUUUUGUCAUGAAUUACAUCUAGUUGAGGUGUUUGGAGUUCACAAAAAAGGCUCUAGUGAUACCAGCGAAUAUUAGCAAACUCUGAUCCAGUCUCUUGUUGCCUAUCUUCUGAGAUUUAACAUCAGCUGCCUCUUCUGGAAAUGGGUCACAUCACUGGAUGUCAUCCAGACUGGAAGAAAUGAAGCAGAUCGACAGUUUUUAUUGCCCCUGUUGACCAAGGACAAGGAUGUUUCAGAGGUUUGCUGGAGAAAAACAUAUCAGUUUGGGAGGAUGGUGUGGGAGGAUGUGGAAACUGGGAACCACAGAGCAAAGGAACUGAUCACAUUUUCUAAAAACAUUUGGCCUGUGAUCCAAGACUGACUGAAAUAUUUCAAGGCACAUUUUUCUAGAUAUUCCAGAAAAAAAAAAAAUGCAAAAUUCUCUUUUAUUCUAAAAUCCAGUCAUUCAUAUUGCCUGGAAGUCUUUUCUUAUAUUUCUCUCAAAUUUCUCAUGUUUAUUUGUGACAAAAAAUUUACUUUAUGGCGAACUGCCUUAGAUGUCAAAUAUUCUGAGACAGGACCUGGAGACCCUAACUCUGGUCAGAGACAAAUCUCUGGCCGCCAUCGUGGGCCUUCAUUUUUAACCAUUUGCCCAGGUGGCACAGUGGUAAAGAAUCGCCUGCCAAAACGGAAGAUGCAAGAAACGUGGGUUCAAUCCUUGGAUGGGGAAGAUACCCUGGAGUAAGAAAUAGCAACCCACUCCAGUAUUCUUGCCUGGAAAAUUCCAUGGAUAGAUGAGCUUGACAGGCUGCAGUCCAUGGGGUCGCAAAGAGUUGGACAUUACUAAGCCACUAAGCAC